rnacentral:lncRNA from 1 species
CAGCCUGUAGGCGCACUGUAGAGUCGUAUUCAGACCCUGAAACAAGUAAAGACCCCUCACCCUAUUUCCUAUCACGGUAUUAAAGCUAAAUAAAUAAUUAAACUGUACUGUGUGACUUUAUAAAUGUAUAAUUGAUUAAAGUUGCCAAUGGAGCCCGAGUCUGAUACAGUGUUGGUCUGUUAUUGUUUGAUUUAAUUUCUAGUAUUAAAUGCAGCAUGAUGUUUGAUGUAAUUAAGUUAUGGUCUCGUAUGCAUGAAUCAUGGUUUCUUUUAUUAUGGUUUGUAUGAUGAUGAAUCCGAUACUGUGUUGUCUUAUUUGGUGUCCAUUACUGGUUUACAUGUUGUGUGUGUUUGGAUGAUUGAAACCAAGAAAAAUGGCAAAAAGGUUAUGUGAAUUGAUAAGUGGAUAAUGUGGACAGCCUGAUUAGAUAUCCUAGGAGAUG